UGAGCUUCUGCUUGUCUAACUCAAGUCUUUCUAGCUGCAGAAAGAAGAGUAGGGUGUGUCAGGCUGUCAGAGUUCUCCUCCUGCCUGGCUGUGGAGAGAGAAGAGGUCCAGCCCAGCUGCCUAAGGAGAGAGAGGGCUCCUGGGAGAUGACGGUGUUUGGACGAGCCUUGAAACAAGCUGCUUCUUUCUGUUGUUUCAGUUCUUCCUCCAGCUAUUAGAAAGAAAAGACAGAGUCUCACUUUACCACCCUUGGUAGAGUGCCAUGACGUCACACAGCUCACAGCGACCUCCAGCUCUUGGGCUUUCACCAUUUUCCUGCCUCAGCCUCCCAAGCAGCUGGGACUACUGUGGGUUUUUAAAUAAGUCCUUAUA